rnacentral:rRNA from 1 species
CCUACGGGUGGCAGCAGUGGGGGAUAUUGCACAAUGGGGGAAACCCUGAUGCAGCGACGCCGCGUGGGUGAAGAAGCGCCUCGGCGCGUAAAGCCCUGUCAGCCGGGAAGAAAAUGACGGUACCUGAAGAAGAAGCCCCGGCUAACUACGUGCCAGCAGCCGCGGUAAUACGUAGGGGGCAAGCGUUAUCCGGAUUUACUGGGUGUAAAGGGGGCGCAGACGGGGCUGCAAGCCAGGAGGGAAAGCCCGGGGCCCAACCCCGGGACUGCUCUUGGAACUGCGGGGCUAGAGUGCAGGAGGGGCAGGCGGAAUUCCUGGUGUAGCGGUGAAAUGCGUAGAUAUCGGGAGGAACACCGGUGGCGAAGGCGGCCUGCUGGACUGCAACUGACGUUGAGGCCCGAAAGCGUGGGGAGCAAACAGGAUUAGAUACCCUAGUAGUC